UUUCCCAUUCCUCUCUUUUUUUCUCUCAUCCUCUGACACCCUACUAUCUCACAAACCUAGAACUAGAUCGUGCAAAGUCAUUCAAAGACAAGUAAGAGCUUCAUCAUUUCCCUCUUUCAACCGCGAAUCUAAUCGAACCUACCUUAUUCAUCAUCCAAUUAUAAAACUCAAUCCCCAAAACCCUAAUCCUAAAUGUCAAAGGGCGAGAAUCUAAUCAUUCCUCUCCUUUGCUCAUUCAAAUCGGCACAUGCAACUACAAAUCUUUGAUAUGACCAUGACAGUUUUUAGUCCAAAGGUCUAACGCAGUGACUAAUAGAUUUUGGUUUUAACUGGUGGUCCAUUUUUCUUCUACAACCAAUUCAUUCAUUAUUUCAAAUAAGUAAACUCUCCUUCUAAUUUUUCCCUCUAUUUUUCUCAUAUUUUACCCUCUUGUUCUCAUCAGUGUUUAUCGUCACCUUCUAGUAAUUUUUUCGAAAUUCAAUUAGAACCCUAUGUCUUGAUUGCAACUAUAAAUAGGGGGCUUUAGUGCCCUCAUCAAACACACGAACUACUUUAAGAAUUCUAUUAAAUGUUCUCCAUUUAAAUACUCUAAAAGUUCUUCACUGGUUUCCUUUCUUUCUUUUAUUUUUGCUCGAGUUCAACAACUGAGAAUUGAUUGUGAGCUUUGGUCCCUAAACAACUAAAAACUCCUACUUGGUUUGCUACCCCGAAGAGGGUUAGUAGACUGCUGACCUCCCUUUAAUUGUUUGGUUAUUUCAUGUGUUAUUACAGAGUUUUUUUUUCUAUUAAUCGCUUGCAUGCUCUUCUUCAUGACACACAUCGGCCAAGUAUGUGACCUUCAAUUUUGUUUUUGAUGCUUGUGUUGUUCUUCACUUAAUUAACUGAUAUUUCUUGCUAAUUGUUGUGUUUAUUCCCUAUGUUGUUGUUUAAAUCAACUUCUUAUAGUGAUCAGUGAGUUAUGUUUCUCACAAGUAUAUUACCAUUUUUGUAUUGCUAACUAAUUGAAAUGAUUUUUGUGCUUAUUAUUGUGAUCACUGUGAACAGUCCUGUUUAAUUUCUUACGUGGAUUUAAUUAAUUGAUCUCUAUGUUGUAAACAAUGUUUUCUACAUAUUAUUGCUAUGUUAAUUUAGUGAUGCUUAUUUAUUUCCAUACUUAUAUUAUAUGUUGAUUAAGCUGAUUGAAUGAUGUUCAUAAACCUUCAUGUUAUCCUGUUUAAUUAACUGAAAAAAUCCUUAUGCUUAUAUCAUUAUGUUUUCCUGCUUGAAUGAUCCUCAUGUUUAUAGUAUCAUGUUUCUUUUGUUUAGAUAAUUAAAAUGACCCUCAUUGAUAGUUAUUCCUACAUUACCAUGUUCAUUUGCGUGGUUAAAUGAUUUCAAUUAACAGUUAUAUUUAUGGUACUAUGUUAAAAUGAUUUAUGUUAGCAAACAUGCGUGUUUACCAUGAUAAAUUGAACAGAAGGGGAAGUAUAAGACAAACUAUGUUGGCAUUAUUUACUUUAGAGUUCAAUCGUGAUCUUGUUUUCAUGACUAUAAUGAUGAGUUGCAAUCACAUGCCGCUUUUGCCUAAGCUAGUUGUAAGUAAGUAUUUCUCGUUAUCUAAUGAUCAUUUAACACUGUCCAAAAAGUUUUCAUUGAUAUUUUGGAGUAUUGGUGAUCUUGAUAGCUUGGAAUGUUUCACUGGAUGUUGUUAAUUCUCAAUAUGUAUUAUUAUGUUAGAUGUCAUGACAAAAGGAUUCAUAUAGCGAGUCAUAAAGUUAAACCUCCUAUUCAGACUUAAUGUCCAGGUUAUUCUGAUGUGGCGACUCAACUAGUCGUCUCAUGAGUUAUCACUCCGUUUCCCCCAUUUCAACUUCUUAUUGCUUUGUUCAGUUGUAUUUCAUGUCAUCGGGUUGAUCGAUUCGGGUUCGGAGAGGUUUUGGCAAGGUUUGAGAUAUUUAGUCUCUUUUGAGGGAGCUUAAGUUGAAAAAGUCAACCAGAUGUUGAAUUAAAUGUUAGAGGGCUCGAAUGUGAGUUCCAAUGGUUUAUAUAGCUUUGAGAGAUGAUUUGGGACUUAGGAGCGUGAUGGAAAUGUAUUUUGGAGGUCCGAAGUAGAUUUAGGCUUGAAUUGGUGAAUUGGAUUUUUAACGUUUUCCGGUUGAUAGGUGAUAUUUUGAUACAGGGAUCGGAAUGGAAUUCCGAGAGUUGUAGUAGUUUUGUUGUGUCAUUUUGAAUGUGUGCAAAAUUUUAGGUCAUUCAGACGUGGUUUGGUUGAGUUUUUUAUCAAAAGCUAAAUUUAGAAGUUCUUGGAUUCUUAGGCUUGAAUCUGAUGUAAUUUUGGUGUUUUGAUGUUGUUUUUGGCAUUCCGAAGGUUGGAACAAGUUUGAAUAAGGUUAUGGGAUAUGUUGGCAUGCUUGGUUGGGGUGCCGAUGGCCUCGGGUGUAUUUUGAAUAGUUGAACGGACCAUUUUAAGUUAAAGGAAAGUUGCAGAUUUUGGUUUCAGCUGUUGCAGGCAUUUUGUUCUUCGCAUUCGCGAGGGACCCUCGCGUUCGCGAAGGGUGAAGAAGGGAGGCAUCAUAUUUGGCCUUCAUGUUUGCGAGGGGGUCCCGCGUUUGCGAAGAGUCGGAAUGGGAAGCAUUCCGUUUGAGAGAUGCCUGACCGCGUUCGCGAUGGUUGGUGAGGCUGAGGCAUCGCGUACGUGAUGAUGCGAUCGCGUUCGCGUAGGAGAAUUUUGGACAAUGGAAUUUUGUGCUUCGCGAACGUGAGGCUUUGAACGCGUUCGCGAAGAAGGACUUCUGAUCGCUGGGCACAAUGUUUAAAAGGCCAUUUUUGCGAGUUUUGGCCUAAGUUCACCAUUUUUACUCGGUUUUUAGCUUUUUAGAGAGAUUGAAGAGGGAAUCAAGGAGAACUUGUUAAAGGUAAGAAUUUUGAACAUAAUGCUCGAUCCUAUUGUUAUUUCUACCUAAUUAAAGAUGAAAUUUGGGGAAUUUGAAGCCUAAAUUGGGGAGUUAGAGCUUGGAAACUUGAGACUUUAAUCUAGGUAUUUUAGGGGCCAUUUGUGGUCGCAUUUUGGUAUUCUUGGUAUGUAUGAACUCGUAGGAGGAUAAGGAUUCCAUUGACGUGAUUUUUAUCGAGUUUUGAGACGUGGGCCCGGGGGUCGAGUUUGGCCAAUUUCGGGAUUUUUGGUACAAUUUAAUUAUUUUCGCUUGGGCUUCGUUCCUUUAGCAUAUUCUAAUGUUAUGAUUCUAAUUUUGGAAAGAUUCAGCGAGUUGAGGCCGAGGUGAGAGGCAAAGUCAUCGCGGAGUAGUAACUCACCCGGUUUGAGGUAAGUAACCAUUCUAAACCUGAAACUGAGGGUACUAUUUCGAAUUGUGUGGACAAAUGAGGUGACGCACAUGCUAUGUGAUGAGUGUGUGGGCGCGCACCGGUAGGGAUUGUGACUUGAUCCAUCCCGUAGCGACUAUUAAGCCGCGUAUUUGAUUUGAGAUCUUAUGAUAUUCAGUAUUUUAGACAUUUAUACUGUAUUAUGGGUUGUAUGCCAUGUUUGGGGCUAUGUGCCGACCUAUUGAGACCAUUGGGGGCAUUUUUACAGUUUUUCCUCACUCCAUUUGUUUGAAAGCAUAUCCUUAGUCAUGUUUUAUCUGUUUAUUGAUUAAAACUGGUGUUAUCACUGUACUACUUAAAAUGUGAGAACUGUUCGGACUGAGUUCCCUGAUUUCUACUGUUAUGCCGAGUGGCUGUGAGGUUAAUGAUUGAGAGAGGUUGUGACCUAAUGGUGAGGAUAUAUAUAUAUAUAUAGGUGAAAUGGCUUCGUGGCCACUUAAACUUAUAGGGCUUUUGAAAGCCGAUACACAAACUUUUAUCUUUCCCAUUUAAACACUCAAACUGGUAAAACCUACAACUAAUAAAUACCUUUGACCAGACUAUGUUUAUGUGGUGGUAGCUUAUCUUAGGUGGAUAUAGUGCGUACAAGUCACGUUCAAAUGGCUCGUGUAUCUGUUAUUAUUCAUUAAAAAGAUUGUAAAAUUAAAAAAAAUAGAAUCUAUAAGGAAAACCAAAAAAGAAGAAGAAAAUGGUGGCUGGGUUUAUUGACUCCGCCUUGUUCUGCCAGUUCCUCCAAGAAAGAGAAAUUAACCAUGGAGCUAGACUGCCGGAAUUUUUAUCAAUUCCUAUGGGAGAUAAAUUGAGAGAAAAAUUGAGGUCUAUGAAUGUUACCGGAGAAAGGAUUAGAUUUGAAGUCCUAGCGCCAAUGGCUCCGACGACGGAGAUGGCGGAUUUUCCGGGGGAGACGAUGGGGAAAAUUACAGUGAAUGAUGCUAGGAAAAUUUUGAGGUUUUAUCAGUUGGAGAAAGUGAGAUUGAGAGUUAGAGAUAUGCCGAUGAACUCCAUUUUGUACUCUAAAUUCGUUGAGUUUCUCUUCAUCUUUUAGUUCCAUAUUGAUUUUAUUCCAGUAAUUUUCUUCUUCUUUUUGUAGUUUCCCUUUCUUCUUGAGUGGCUUCUGCUCCUACAUGCUCAUCUUCCAUAUCUUUAAUCAGUUUUUUUGAAGUACCCAAGAAUACAGAGGAGAGUAUUUAUAAUUAGUGGAGGCCUCUCAGAUACUUGGUCUUUAGCAACAUAGAACAGGGUUUGGAGUUUGCAAAGAUUGUUGGACGAUUCAGGCAGCGUCAUCAUUUUUCGGUGACGUCGUUUUGCUCCGUCCCCAUCAGGUAAAAGUUGCACAACUAUGGUGAAUAAGAAAAUAAGGGAAAUAGAAGAAAAAGUAGAAAUUAAUAAAUUUAUUCACGCCCUUGACGUGUAACAAUCCCAUUGGUCAUUUGGUGAUUGGAUAGACACAUAUGUAAAUGUGUAAUACACGCACGUAGGUUCAAAGGUAAAAUGUGUUUAUUAGUUAAGGGUUUCACGAGUUUGAGUGUUCAAAUGGGAAAGUCUAAAGCUUGUGUAUCGGCUAUCAAAAGCCUUGCAAGUUUAAGUGGUCAGGAAGCCAUUACGCCAUAUAUAUAUAUAUAUAUAUAUAUAUAUAUAUAUAUAUAUAUAUAUAUANNNNNNNNNNNNNNNNNNNNNNNNNNNNNNNNNNNNNNNNNNNNNNNNNNNNNNNNNNNNNNNNNNNNNNNNNNNNNNNNNNNNNNNNNNNNNNNNNNNNNNNNNNNNNNNNNNNNNNNNNNNNNNNNNNNNNNNNNNNNNNNNNNNNNNNNNNNNNNNNNNNNNNNNNNNNNNNNNNNNNNNNNNNNNNNNNNNNNNNNNNNNNAUAUAUUAUGGAUCGGGAUGCACGCCGUAGCGAUACUUAUAUGGACUGGCUAAAUGCCGCAGUGAUAUAUAUAUUGGAUUGGGUUGUGCGCCACAACAAUAUGACGUUUGGGCUGUAGGAGCCCCUCCAAAGUCUGUACACCCCCAGUGAGAGUAGUCGACUAUAAAAAAUGGAUCGGGCUGCACACCACGGCGAUACUAUGAUUAUUACUAUAUGAGAUAUAAUUGAGCUUGAGUGCUGAGAGUGAGUACUGAGUGACGAGAGCAAAGUCACGAGUGACUGAGAGGCUGCCUGAGAGGCCAUAUUCUGAGUGAUACCUCGCCCGAGGGGCCCAUUUAUGAUAUUUUCAGUGAUUUCACUCUUCUUUUAAAAUAAGCCUCUAUUGAAAAAUUCUUAAGUAAAUGAUUUCAAGUAUUCCAAUUGAAACUAAAGAUAUUGUGACGAGAUUGGUUUUAAACUAUGGAGUUUGAUCAGUUAUUCUGUUGUUUACUCCUUUAUAUGAUUUUAAUUGCUCAUCGCUGCUUUCAGACCUUAUUUACUUUAGUUAAUUACUGAGUUGGCGCACUCACGUUACUCUCUGCACCUUGUGUGAAGAUCCAGGUGCCCGAGCGUCAGAGUGAGGGUCCUCAACAUUAUU
rnacentral:lncRNA from 1 species